rnacentral:lncRNA from 1 species
CUGUAAAAAAGGUUAUCGUUAUGGAUCCUGUGGGAAUUGGUGGCAUGAAGGGACCACUAGGGGGCGCCCAACGCCUCAGAAUAGUCCACCUUUAAGUCUCUAGGCCUGGUCCUGGAGGCUCUUGACUCCAGGCUUCCCUAAGGUUCCUGGAAGGCCUUCAUGUGUUAUUACUGGUUGGACAGAGAAGAGCACUGCCAGCCCCAGAUGGGAGUGAGAAGGCCGGUCGGGGAGAAGCUCAUUUGGCAGAAUGCUGAAGCCUUACUGGUCUGAGGUGUCAGAGGUCAGAGCCUGAGACUGACAGAGGAGCCACAGGUGACCAGCAAACUGCAGAAGCUCUGGGGAGAACUCCAUGGAGUCAGGCUAAAAACAGCAGCAACCAGAAACUGUAAGAACUGAGCAGAGAUACCAGCUGCACCACUAGAGAGACAAAGUGUGUAGCUCACUGCCUAGUACAGCAAAAUAGCCACAAUCCUCAGAAGGACACAACAGAAUCUGGAAUCACUAGAAAGUAUUAUCUACAAUGCUCAUUCUUAACCAUGCAAAGAAGAAACAGGAAAGUGUGAUUCAAAGUCAGAAAAAAGUCAGUCAAUAGAAAUCUACUCUGUUAGGGACAGGUGUUGGUGAAUUAAGUAAUUAGAGACUCUAAAGCAGCUAUGAUAAAUAUGUUCACAGAGGAAAGCUCAAUAGAGAAAUGAAACUUCAAACAUGGAAAUUUAAGACUUGAAAAGUACAAAAACUAGAAAGAAAAAUUUACUAGGUGGACCAAACGGCAGAUUAGAGAUGCCAAAAUUGCAUAAAUUGAACAGAGAUCAAAAGACGUUAUUUAAUCUAAAAAAUUGAAGAAAAAUGAGCAGAGCCUUAGAGUCCUGUAAAAUAUCAAGCAAGAUAACAUAUAUGUAAUUGGGUUCCGGAGGGAGAGAAGGAAUGGAAAAAAAUAUUUGCAUAAAUAAUGACUGAAAAAUUCCAUGAUUGGCAGAAAACACUAAUUUACAGAUCUAAGAAGGUCAAGCACCCCAAGCAGGAUAUAUAAUUAUAUCACUUCCAUGCAGAAGAGAAAUGCAGAAAGCCAAAGAUAAAGAGCAAAGUGUUGAAAGCAGCCAAAGAAAAGUGACACAUCACGUACAGGAAAAUAGUUCAGCUCAAUGGCUGAAUUUUCAUCAGAAAUACUGGCAUUCAGAAGAAAUUUAAAAAUGCUGAAAACAAAACUAGCAGCCAAGAAUUUUGUAUCAAGCAAAAAUGUCUUUUCAAAAUUAAAGGCAAAAGGAAGCAACUUCCAGAUAAAUUUAAAAGACAGAAUUUAUGCCAUUAUAUUUACACUGUAAGAAAUGCUAAAUGAGGUUCUUCAGGUUGAAGGGAAAUGACCCUGAUGACAACAUGGAUCUACAGGAAAAAAUGAAAAGCAUCAGAAAUCAUACAUAUGUGAGUAAAUAUAAAAUACUAAAUAUUGAUAGAUGAAUAUAUGGAUAGGUACUACACAAACACAUAUGAACAUAUAAUUCUUAAUAUCUUAACACAUGAUAUAGGACUCUUCAAAACAAAAAAUUAUUACAUUGUAUUGUUGGGUUUGUAAUGGACACAGAUAUAAAAUAUGUAACAAUAUUAAGAGUAGGAAAAGUAGAGAUACAUUGUUAAAAGGUUCUAGUAUUUUACUUGAAGUAGUUCAAUAUUAACUCUAGACUAUUAUAAGUUAAAGUUAAGUUGCGUAUUGUAAUCACUACAGCAACCACUAAAAAUAGAACAAAGAAAUACGGCAAAAAAGCCAAGAGACGAAUUAAAAUGUAACACUAAAGAAAAAAAAAAAACACUACGGGGGGCCGGGUGCAGUGGCUCAUGCCUGUAGUCCCAGCACUUUGGGAAGCCAAGGCAGGAGGAUCACCUGAGGUCAGGAGUUCGAGACUAGCCUGGCCAACAUGGUGAAACCCCUCCCCCCAACCAAAAAUACAAAAAUUAGCUGGAUGUGGUGGCACGUGCCUGUAAUCCCAGCUAGUUGGGAGGCUGAGUAGGAAAAUCACUUGAACCCAGGAGGCAGAAAUUGCAGUGAGCAGAGAUCGUGCCACUGCUCUCCAGCCUGGGUGACAGAGCAAGGCUCCAUCUCAAAAAAAAAAAAAAAAAUUAACACUACAAAAGGCAGGAAGAGAGGAACUGUGGAAUAAAACAGAUCAGACAAAUAUAAAUGGGAAGCUUAACUAUAACCAAAUCAAUAAUCAUAUGAUAAUUGAAAACUAAUCAAAAGGUAAUUAAGUGGAAACUGACAUAUUAAUAUGUGUUCAGUCCAUAUACAUAUAUUAUCUCUUUAGUUCCUUUUAAAAAGUGUUUUAUAUUUUUCAGUGUAUAGAUUUUGCAAAAAGUUUGGUAAAUUUAUCCCCAUGUAGUUCAUAUUUUAGGAAGGUAUUAUAAGUUCAAUUGUACUUUUGCUGUUUUGUUCAUUGCUCACAUAUAGAAAUAUGAUAAAUUUUUAUGUAUUGAACUUUCAUCCUUUGACCUCGAUAGAUCUAUUUAUUAGUUCUAGUAAGUUUCUGUAGUCUUCUUAAGAUUUUCUGUAUAAAUGGUCAUGCAAUCUGAAUAAAUACAGUUUUACGGCUUCCU